UACAGAGGGUGCAAGCGUUGUUCGGAAUUAUUGGGCGUAAAGGGAGUGUAGGCGGUUUCCUAAGUCUUCUGUGAAAUCUACGGGCUUAGCCUGUAACGUGCAGAGGAAACUGGGAGACUUGAGUGUCGGGGAGGAUAGGGGAAUACCCAGUGUAGAGGUGAAAUUCGUAGAGAUUGGGUGGAACACCAGUGGCGAAGGCGCCUGUCUGGCUGACAACUGACGCUGAGACUCGAAAGCAUGGGGAGCAAACAGG
rnacentral:rRNA from 1 species